AAGAUGUUGAGCGGGGGUGUGGCGUGACGCAGUGAUCUCUCCUAGCCCCUACUCUUUUUUUUUUUUUUUUUGAAACAAACUAAUCGUGACUGUGAUGUUUUCUCAGGUCAUGAACCUUGCUUGAAUGUACGAAACGGGAUACUCUCUUCUUGUUUCUCAUCAAGUUGAGGUGUUUGAACUCUUUGUAUUGUUCUAAAGAGCCUUCAAGUCGUGAAGUUUGAGGAGAUCGGAGAAUGGAGGACCGCAUUAUGCGGGAGGUCGGAGAACGUUUUGAUGUAGACUUGUCAUUCACUGCGAUUGUGCUUGAACCUCUUUUGUGUAGCUCGUCGGUGUUUGUUACGGAGGGUUAGCUCGGUCGUGAGAAGGUGCACACGAUCUUUGUUCUUGUUGAAGGUUGUUGUUUUGAUUGCUCCACAAGUUAUGUCUCAAACUGCUUCUGAGAAUUUGUAGAUUGCCACGAAUCCUUCUGAUUUUUCAGCAAAGGACUCCAUGGAACGUGGUAAUGUAGGUGAUGUCUCGAUGUGGUCUCGCCAUUCUCUGAGGCUUAGCUCGGUAUGGGAGAAGACGUAUGAAGACCAAUGAGUUCCAGAUUUGUUUGUGAAUUGCUG
rnacentral:lncRNA from 1 species